GACGAACGCUUUUGGCGUGCUUAACACAUGCAAGUCGAACGGAAAGGCCCUGCUUUUGUGGGGUGCUCGAGUGGCGAACGGGUGAGUAACACGUGAGUAACCUGCCCUUGACUUUGGGAUAACUUCAGGAAACUGGGGCUAAUACCGGAUAGGAGCUCCUGCUGCAUGGUGGGGGUUGGAAAGUUUCGGCGGUUGGGGAUGGACUCGCGGCUUAUCAGCUUGUUGGUGGGGUAGUGGCUUACCAAGGCUUUGACGGGUAGCCGGCCUGAGAGGGUGGCCGGCCACAUUGGGACUGAGAUACGGCCCAGACUCCUACGGGAGGCAGCAGUGGGGAAUAUUGCACAAUGGGCGGAAGCCUGAUGCAGCAACGCCGCGUGCGGGAUGACGGCCUUCGGGUUGUAAACCGCUUUCGCCUGUGACGAAGCGUGAGUGACGGUAAUGGGUAAAGAAGCACCGGCUAACUACGUGCCAGCAGCCGCGGUGAUACGUAGGGUGCGAGCGUUGUCCGGAUUUAUUGGGCGUAAAGGGCUCGUAGGUGGUUGAUCGCGUCGGAAGUGUAAUCUUGGGGCUUAACCCUGAGCGUGCUUUCGAUACGGGUUGACUUGAGGAAGGUAGGGGAGAAUGGAAUUCCUGGUGGAGCGGUGGAAUGCGCAGAUAUCAGGAGGAACACCAGUGGCGAAGGCGGUUCUCUGGGCCUUUCCUGACGCUGAGGAGCGAAAGCGUGGGGAGCGAACAGGCUUAGAUACCCUGGUAGCCCACGCUGUAAACGGUGGGUACUAGAUGUGGGGUCCAUUCCACGGGUUCCGUGCCGUAGCUAACGCUUUAAGUACCCCGCCUGGGGAGUACGGCCGCAAGGCUAAAACUCAAAGGAAUUGACGGGGCCCCGCACAAGCGGCGGAGCAUGCGGAUUAAUUCGAUGCAACGCGUAGAACCUUACCUGGGUUUGACAUGGAUCGGGAGUGCUCAGAGAUGGGUGUGCCUCUUUUGGGGUCGGUUCACAGGUGGUGCAUGGCUGUCGUCAGCUCGUGUCGUGAGAUGUUGGGUUAAGUCCCGCAACGAGCGCAACCCUUGUUCACUGUUGCCAGCACGUUAUGGUGGGGACUCAGUGGAGACCGCCGGGGUCAACUCGGAGGAAGGUGGGGAUGACGUCAAGUCAUCAUGCCCCUUAUGUCCAGGGCUUCACGCAUGCUACAAUGGCUGGUACAGAGAGUGGCGAGCCUGUGAGGGUGAGCGAAUCUCGGAAAGCCGGUCUCAGUUCGGAUUGGGGUCUGCAACUCGACCUCAUGAAGUCGGAGUCGCUAGUAAUCGCAGAUCAGCAACGCUGCGGUGAAUACGUUCCCGGGGCU
rnacentral:rRNA from 1 species